GGGGCCGACCUGGUUUCGACGUGGGUCAGGAAGUGGGUCAGGGCAUGCCGAGGCCUCGUUACCUCGUAAAUCCAGC
rnacentral:tmRNA from 1 species